UACAGAGGUCUCAAGCGUUAUUCGGAAUCACUGGGCUUAAAGAGUCCGUAGGCGGCUUGUUAGGUGAGGUGUGAAAUCCCCCGGCUCAACCGAGGAAUUGCGCUUCAAACCGGCAAGCUUGAGGAGGAUAGAGGUGGGCGGAACUGAUGGUGGAGCGGUGAAAUGCGUUGAUAUCAUCAGGAACACCGGAGGCGAAAGCGGUCCACUGGGUCCUUUCUGACGCUGAGGGACGAAAGCUAGGGGAGCGAACGGG
rnacentral:rRNA from 1 species